rnacentral:lncRNA from 12 species
CCGGGCGGGGGCGGGCGCGGGGGCGGGCGGCAGGAGCUCGGUGCCCCGCUCGGGCUUGGCGGCCUCGGGCUGCCGUGGGCGCCGCCGUAACUAAGAAGCUCGGCGGCGGCGGCGGCGGCGGCGGCAACAGGUCUCUGGUUGCAGGACCCGAGGAACUUGGGCGAAGUCCCGCCUCCCGGCCCUCGGCUGCUGCUCAUUGGCGGCGCCGGUUAUUUAUCCGUCGCUGAUUGGUUGGGUCCGGCUGUCAGGCUUCGGCGGCGGCCCGACUUCGGAGGAGUGAAGUUCGCCCGGAUGCUGCAGUGGGUGCUGGAGAACUCGAGUUGCCUCUUUGCGGUGUCCUGCAGGCCUUGGGAGAUGAUGUGCCAGACAGGUAAAUCGUGGUCUCUCGUGGCUGUACUCCUGGUUACGCAUAGGUACUGAAAAUAGACUUAUUUUACGGGAGGGUAUGUCGCAUCCUUGGGCAGCCCUGCAGACGGGACUGGAAAGCCUGAAAACAUUACAAAACGAAAUGAUUUUUCCCUGACUACUGAUCGUGAGGAUGCUGUUGUAAGAAUCGAGGGCCCGUAGUUUCUAGAGCGUCGCGUACCUGUUAUUAACCAGAACGACUGCUUCUGACUGUUCCUCCCAAGAGUUUGCAGCGUCGAGAAAGUACGCGCACUCCCUGCAGGCACCGGUAGUGUGUCCUGUGAGGUCGCCCUACAGGCUAGAGGACAGAACGCGUGCGUGGUGGUGACUGCGUGCGGGAGCUCGAGCUGCUGCGGGUGUGGCCGGAGGACGGCUCUGCAGAGGGACAGGCGGACAGAGCGCUGGGAGCGGUGGGUGAUCGAUCAAGCAAGAGGCACCAUCAGCGCUUGCUGAAUGGACGCCGAGUAUUGCGGGCUUUAGUACUUGGCCAAGGCCAGCGCACCGGGAGCAGUUAACGUAGACCCUAAGCAAUCGUGUCCCUCCCAGGGGUAGGAAUCCUCUGCUGCCCGCGGGGGAUCCAGUCCACAGCUUGCUUCAUCCCUAAAACCGCAGCAUCUCUUCGGCGGGUGCGGGACGAGGCGCUUGCCUGGGUUGGGG